ACAGAUGCACCACAUGUAUAGUCUAACUGUCGAAAACAACGUAAUGUCUCUGAUAGAGGUUGAUUUGAAUCCAUAUUACAUGCAAUUCGGUACCGUGGCUCAUGUAUGUGAUCCUCAUGUCGAUGCGAUCCACUUGGAGGCCAAUGGAUUAUGUUGCCAUUUUAAUAAUUCAACUUUAGACCAGCCGGUAACUUGGACACUAGUAUGAAUUAGAAUUUCUAUUCCCAUGUCACUGUCUGGAAUAUCUGGAAAGAGAGGUAUUCUACCAACCUGAAAGGUGGAGCAUCUAUGGAGUUUUUAAGUUGAUAAAGAUAAAGAGAGCUAGUUUUUCUGCUGGACCUCUUGAGCUUGUGAGUGGAAAAAUGCUGAGUAAUUGUCAGAUGCCUUAUUAUUAUGUGAUGACCUUUAGUUUUCAGGAUUUUGAUAGAACUACUUGUAUUCUUUAUUUUGUUCGUUCUUCAACCUCAUUAGCUUUUAGUAACUGUCAUGGUUUGUCUUUUAGUUCUUUUGAAAUAUAAACUGUUGUUAAGAAACGGAAGCCAAAAGCUGAAAUUUGAUAGAACUUCUUGUUCUUUCUUUCUUUACUUUUUUCUACCUUUCUUUUUUUUUUGGUACAAAAAGGGGGGAAAGCAGCAAAAUCACAGGUAAAGGAAAAGAGCCAGCAGUGGAAGCAACCCCAAAAAAAAAGGUUUACCAAACAGCAGGCACAGCUGUCUCAGUUGCAUGUCACUUACCAGGAAGGGAGCAAGGUUACUGGCAGGAGACAUUGUCCUCCAUCUUCCCACAUCUGCAUUGGCAAUUGCACACGAUAUUGCCCGUAGGUUGAUUAAUGUUGCUGCGACAUUGGUGGGCUGAUUACUUCAACUAGUCCCCAUGUUCGUAAAGAGCUUCGACUACAAGGAGAGAAUAAAAUUCAAUGAUGAGAGGAAAUGUUUUAGGAGGACAUAUCCAAUUCAAGUUCCUGGAUGAUGUUGAAGCAUGGAAGGAUCAUUCAUGAGGUAGGCAUUGUUCUACAAGAUAGUUUGAUUCAGUGAAGGUGCUUAGAUUACCGACUUCUCUGGGUUGAAGGUGAGUGAGUAUUUUAACUUUUAUUUUAUUUUUUUGUCGGGAGAAUACCUCUGUUUAUUUUGGAUAAAGGUCACCCAACUAAAUCAAUGAUGUCUCUUAAACGGCUGAAGCAAUGGCUGGUGUUUGGUAAUGUCCAUUUUUGUACAUAAACAUUCUGUUGAUUGAUAAAAAAAAUAGUUGGCUAGUUUAAGCUAAUGUUGAAUAUGAUUUU